UUAAACUAUGUGAACUUGCUGUAAAUAUGGACAGAAAGCAAUAUGUGGGCUUUAGGUGGGGUAUACGGUGAGAAUGGAAUGCCCAUGAAGGACCCACACACAGUU